rnacentral:lncRNA from 1 species
CCCCUAGAAUACUGUACAAUUUAAAAGAAAUUUUGAGUAAAAAAUUUCAAUGAAGUUACCAAAAAUAAAGUUCGUCAAUGAAGGAAAAAUCCCUGCUCUUGAUUUUUCUUUUGAUUUUCCUUUGUUGCUUCAUGGCCAAAAUCUUUUGAGGUUGAUUCCAUUGUGCCUUUUAGAAGGAGCAGAAGGUGGAAUUGGUACCCCUUUUGGCAAAGACUCAUUAGGAGAUUUAUUAUUAUAAUUCUUAGGCAAAGGCUUCACCUUGAAAAAUUGUGUGUGUCUUGCACCAUAUGCAUGUUGAAUUACCACAAGAACCAAAAUGAUGGAUAUUAUAUAGGUUGCGGUUUUUAUGCUCAUUUUUUCCAUCUCCCUAAGCUUGUUGUAAGGUUAGAAUGGUAUUGUAGUUGAAAUAAAAGGAAAGAGGUGUGGAGAGGGCCAAAGAUUUGAAAUGGAAAAAGAAGUGAUGUUUUGCUGUGGGAUUGAUUAGUAUAUUAGUUAGUG